rnacentral:rRNA from 1 species
CAGGCCUAACACAUGCAAGUCGAACGGACCCUUCGGGGUUAGUGGCGGACGGGUGAGUAACACGUGGGAACGUGCCUUUAGGUUCGGAAUAGCUCCUGGAAACGGGUGGUAAUGCCGAAUGUGCCCUUCGGGGGAAAGAUUUAUCGCCUUUAGAGCGGCCCGCGUCUGAUUAGCUAGUUGGUGAGGUAACNGGCUCACCAAGGCGACGAUCAGUAGCUGGUCUGAGAGGAUGACCAGCCACACUGGGACUGAGACACGGCCCAGACUCCUACGGGAGGCAGCAGUGGGGAAUCUUGCGCAAUGGGCGAAAGCCUGACGCAGCCAUGCCGCGUGAAUGAUGAAGGUCUUAGGAUUGUAAAAUUCUUUCACCGGGGACGAUAAUGACGGUACCCGGAGAAGAAGCCCCGGCUAACUUCGUGCCAGCAGCCGCGGUAAUACGAAGGGGGCUAGCGUUGCUCGGAAUUACUGGGCGUAAAGGGCGCGUAGGCGGAUCGUUAAGUCAGAGGUGAAAUCCCAGGGCUCAACCCUGGAACUGCCUUUGAUACUGGCGAUCUUGAGUAUGAGAGAGGUAUGUGGAACUCCGAGUGUAGAGGUGAAAUUCGUAGAUAUUCGGAAGAACACCAGUGGCGAAGGCGACAUACUGGCUCAUUACUGACGCUGAGGCGCGAAA